rnacentral:lncRNA from 1 species
UCUGUGUCGUUCAUGGCUCCCUGUGCACCGUGCGGGUGGCCGAGCCCUUCGACCUCAGUUUCCUCCUGAACAACUCCUGGGUGGUUGUGAGGAUUAAAAGAGACAGUGCAAAUAAAGCAAUACUGGCACAGGGUAGUGCUCCAAAUCUGACAGCAGCUAUUCUUAUCACAGGCAGAGACUGUUCUGGAGAGCGGGGAAGACAUUUGGAGAGAAUUGCUUCACACCUGCUCAAAACUCUCCUAGUUUUGACCAUGGGCCCUGAGUAAGUUCCUCUGAAAUCAUUAUAUGAGUGAACUUGAAACUUCAGUCCUCUUUUAACAACUGACUUAGCUUUUGAAUCAAAGUGAAUUUCAGGUCCUCACAGGGCCCUCUGCACCAGGAUUGGCAAGCUCUCUAUAAGGGGCUUGAGAGUCAAUAUUGAGGCUCUUUGAGCCAAAUGGUCUCUGUCACAACUUCCUAGUCCUGCAGUCAUGGAAAAAAUGUCACUUAGAUACUACAGGAAAGAGUAACUGUGGCUGCUUUCCAAUCCAGCUUUAUUUAUGGUCACUGAAAUUUGGAUUUCAUGAUGAUUUCCAUGUAUCAUGACAUAUGCUUCUUUGGAUUUAUUAAUUUUUUUUUUGUUGGUUUUAGUUUUGCAGUACUGGGGAUUGAACCCAGGGGCACUCUCUCACUGAGCUACAUCCUCAGAACCCCCCAGAACUUUCUGACAAGAGCUUGUUGAAUUGCUGAGGCUGGCCUCAAAGUUGUGAUCCCCCUGCCUCAGCCUCCUAAGUUGCUCAAAUUACAGAUGUGUGCCACCACCAACAGCUAGAUUUUUCAACCACUUUAAAAAUGUGAAAGCCAUUCUUAGCUUGAGGGCUGCACAAAACCAGACCACAGCCCGGAUUUGUCCCAGAAGCUAUAAUUCACCCACCCGUGCCCUCUGACAAAUUUUUACAAAUACAAUAAAUCUGUAUAAAAUAUCUGGCCUCUACUCUUCAAAAAGUGUCAAGGUCAGGGCUGGGGUUGUGGCUCAGCGGUCGAGCACUAGCCUAGCACGUGUGAGGCCCUGGGUUCAAGCCUCAGCACCACAUAAAAAUAAAUAAGUAGAAUAAAGGUAUCGUGGCAACUACAACUAAAAAAUAAGAUAUUUUUUUAAAAAAGUGUCAAGAUCAUGAUGAAGAUAAAAGAUUGAGAACCAGUAAAGACAACAUGGCAGCUAAACAUAACCUGGGAACCCAGAUGUGUUCCUGAAACAGAGAAAGGACAUUGUUGGGAAAACCAGUGAAAUGCAGAUCUGCACUGGUGUUGAUUUCUUGGUUUUGGUAAAUGCACCAUGUUUCUGUGAGACCUGUUCACCUUGGGAGAGCUGGCGGAGGGCAGGUGGGAACACUGUGCUAUCUUGGCACUUUUCUGGAAAUCUAAAAGUACUCCAAAGCUGAGUACCGGGGCGCACACCUGUAAUCUCAGAAGACUGAGGCAGGCAGGUCGCAGCUUCCAGGCCAGCCUGGGCCACUUAGCAACCCCCUGUCUCACAAUAAGCAAUAAAAGAACUGGGGAAGUAGCUCAGUAGUAGAGGG